rnacentral:rRNA from 1 species
AGAGUUUGAUCCUGGCUCAGAUUGAACGCUGGCGGCAUGCCUUACACAUGCAAGUCGAACGGCAGCACGAGAGCUUGCUCUUGGUGGCGAGUGGCGAACGGGUGAGUAAUAUAUCGGAACGUACCCUAGAGUGGGGGAUAACGUAGCGAAAGUUACGCUAAUACCGCAUACGAUCUACGGAUGAAAGUGGGGGAUCGCAAGACCUCAUGCUCAUGGAGCGGCCGAUAUCUGAUUAGCUAGUUGGUGGGGUAAAAGCUCACCAAGGCGACGAUCAGUAGCUGGUCUGAGAGGACGACCAGCCACACUGGAACUGAGACACGGUCCAGACUCCUACGGGAGGCAGCAGUGGGGAAUUUUGGACAAUGGGCGCAAGCCUGAUCCAGCAAUGCCGCGUGAGUGAAGAAGGCCUUCGGGUUGUAAAGCUCUUUUGUCAGGGAAGAAACGGUGGACUCUAAUACAGAUCACUAAUGACGGUACCUGAAGAAUAAGCACCGGCUAACUACGUGCCAGCAGCCGCGGUAAUACGUAGGGUGCAAGCGUUAAUCGGAAUUACUGGGCGUAAAGCGUGCGCAGGCGGUUGUGCAAGACAGAUGUGAAAUCCCCGGGCUCAACCUGGGAAUUGCAUUUGUGACUGCACGGCUAGAGUGUGUCAGAGGGGGGUAGAAUUCCACGUGUAGCAGUGAAAUGCGUAGAGAUGUGGAGGAAUACCGAUGGCGAAGGCAGCCCCCUGGGAUAACACUGACGCUCAUGCACGAAAGCGUGGGGAGCAAACAGGAUUAGAUACCCUGGUAGUCCACGCCCUAAACGAUGUCUACUAGUUGUCGGGUCUUAAUUGACUUGGUAACGCAGCUAACGCGUGAAGUAGACCGCCUGGGGAGUACGGUCGCAAGAUUAAAACUCAAAGGAAUUGACGGGGACCCGCACAAGCGGUGGAUGAUGUGGAUUAAUUCGAUGCAACGCGAAAAACCUUACCUACCCUUGACAUGUCUGGAAUCCUUGAGAGAUCAGGGAGUGCUCGAAAGAGAAUCAGAACACAGGUGCUGCAUGGUUGUCGUCAGCUCGUGUCGUGAGAUGUUGGGUUAAGUCCCGCAACGAGCGCAACCCUUGUCAUUAGUUGCUACGAAAGGGCACUCUAAUGAGACUGCCGGUGACAAACCGGAGGAAGGUGGGGAUGACGUCAAGUCCUCAUGGCCCUUAUGGGUAGGGCUUCACACGUCAUACAAUGGUACAUACAGAGGGCCGCCAACCCGCGAGGGGGAGCUAAUCCCAGAAAGUGUAUCGUAGUCCGGAUUGUAGUCUGCAACUCGACUACAUGAAGUUGGAAUCGCUAGUAAUCGCGGAUCAGCAUGUCGCGGUGAAUACGUUCCCGGGUCUUGUACACACCGCCCGUCACACCAUGGGAGCGGGUUUCACCAGAAGUGGGUAGCCUAACCGCAAGGAGGGCGCUCACCACGGUGGGAUUCGUGACUGGGGUGAAGUCGUAACAAGGUA